rnacentral:rRNA from 1 species
UACGGAGGGUGCGAGCGUUGUCCGGAAUCAUUGGGCGUAAAGGGCGCGUAGGUGGCCCGGUCAGUCUUUGGUGAAAGCGCGGGGCUCAACCCUGCGUCGGCCAGGGAUACUGCCGCGGCUGGAGCACCGUAGAGGCAGGCGGAAUUCCGGGUGUAGCGGUGGAAUGCGUAGAGAUCCGGAAGAACACCGGUGGCGAAGGCGGCCUGCUGGGCAGUUUUGCUGACACUGAGGCGCGACAGCGUGGGGAGCAAACAGG